AUUAACCUUUUGAGCUCGGUCUCGUGGGUUUUGAAGAGCUUCCAAGCCCUUCCGAUUCCCCAGUUUGGGAUCUCCUGGUGUACUUUUUCCUACGGUUAGUCAACAUCGGUUUUGAAUGUCAUAAAAUGACUGGAGGAAUGUAGCUUUGAUCUCCUAUUGAAGUGUUAUAGCCUUUGCUAGAUGUGAUGUUUGAGACCCAGGAUUGCAACGGAUACCCUUCCGGGCUAUUCGUCUGAUCUCUGAUACGUUGCCCUGAUGUUGAAAGCUUGCCUUAUGAUGUUAGGGUAUUACGGUCAAAAGGUUAGAACGAAUUACAUUCGUUAAGGAUGUUGACGUA
rnacentral:rRNA from 1 species